rnacentral:rRNA from 1 species
AACUGAAGAGUUUGAUCAUGGCUCAGAUUGAACGCUGGCGGCAGGCUUAACACAUGCAAGUCGAGCGGGGGAAGGUAGCUUGCUACUGGACCUAGCGGCGGACGGUGAGUAUGCUUAGGAUCUG